rnacentral:rRNA from 1 species
UACGUCGGGUCCAAGCGGGAAUCGGACUUACUGGGCGUAAAGCGUGCGCAGGCGGUUGUGCAAGACCGAUGUGAAAUCCCCGAGCUUAACUUGGGAAUUGCAUUGGUGACUGCACGGCUAGAGUGUGUCAGAGGGGGGUAGAAUUCCACGUGUAGCAGUGAAAUGCGUAGAGAUGUGGAGGAAUACCGAUGGCGAAGGCAGCCCCCUGGGAUAACACUGACGCGCAUGCACGAAAGCGUGGGGAGAACACAGGAGGAGAUACCCCCGUAGUCC